UAGUCAUAUGCUUGUCUCAAAGAUUAAGCCAUGCAUGUCUAAGAGUAACCCCAGUAAGGGGAAGUCUGCGAAUGGCUCAUUAAAUCAGUUAUAGUUUAUUUGGAUGUGGGCUUGCUACACGGAUAACUGUGGCAAUUCUAGAGCUAAUACGUGCUAAGUCCCCAACUUCGCGGAAGGGGUGUAUGUGUUAGGUAUUCAACUGGCUUGCUAGUUGAUUCAUAACAACCUUAACUGACCGCAUAGCCUUGCGCUGGCGGCGUCGCAUUCAAAUUUCUGAUCUAUCAACUUGAAGGUAGGAUAGAGGCCUACCUUGGUUGUAACGGAUGACGGGGAAUUAGGGUUCGGUUCCGGAGAGGGCGCCUGAGAGAUGGCGACCACUUCCAAGGAAGGCAGCAGGCGCGCAAAUUACCCAAUGCUAAUACAGCGAGGUAGUGACAAUAAAUAACAAUGUCGGGGCCUCAAAGCCUCGGCAAUUGGAAUGAGCACAAUUUAAAUCCCUUAGCGAGGAACAACUA
rnacentral:rRNA from 1 species